rnacentral:rRNA from 2 species
GUGCUUGCAUCAUGAUUUACAUUUGAGUGAGUGGCGAACUGGUGAGUAACACGUGGGAAACCUGCCCAGAAGCGGGGGAUAACACCUGGAAACAGAUGCUAAUACCGCAUAACAACUUGGACCGCAUGGUCCGAGUUUGAAAGAUGGCUUCGGCUAUCACUUUUGGAUGGUCCCGCGGCGUAUUAGCUAGAUGGUGGGGUAACGGCUCACCAUGGCAAUGAUACGUAGCCGACCUGAGAGGGUAAUCGGCCACAUUGGGACUGAGACACGGCCCAAACUCCUACGGGAGGCAGCAGUAGGGAAUCUUCCACAAUGGACGAAAGUCUGAUGGAGCAACGCCGCGUGAAGUGAAGAAGGGUUUCGGCUCGUAAAACUCUGUUGUUAAAGAAGAACAUAUCUGAGAGUAACUGUUCAGGUAUUGACGGUAUUUAACCAGAAAGCCACGGCUAACUACGUGCCAGCAGCCGCGGUAAUACGUAGGUGGCAAGCGUUGUCCGGAUUUAUUGGGCGUAAAGCGAGCGCAGGCGGUUUUUUAAGUCUGAUGUGAAAGCCUUCGGCUCAACCGAAGAAGUGCAUCGGAAACUGGGAAACUUGAGUGCAGAAGAGGACAGUGGAACUCCAUGUGUAGCGGUGAAAUGCGUAGAUAUAUGGAAGAACACCAGUGGCGAAGGCGGCUGUCUGGUCUGUAACUGACGCUGAGGCUCGAAAGUAUGGGUAGCAAACAGGAUUAGAUACCCUGGUAGUCCAUACCGUAAACGAUGAAUGCUAAGUGUUGGAGGGUUUCCGCCCUUCAGUGCUGCAGCUAACGCAUUAAGCAUUCCGCCUGGGGAGUACGGCCGCAAGGCUGAAACUCAARGGAAUUGACGGGGGCCCGCACAAGCGGUGGAGCAUGUGGUUUAAUUCGAAGCUACGCGAAGAACCUUACCAGGUCUUGACAUACUAUGCAAAUCUAAGAGAUUAGACGUUCCCUUCGGGGACAUGGAUACAGGUGGUGCAUGGUUGUCGUCAGCUCGUGUCGUGAGAUGUUGGGUUAAGUCCCGCAACGAGCGCAACCCUUAUUAUCAGUUGCCAGCAUUAAGUUGGGCACUCUGGUGAGACUGCCGGUGACAAACCGGAGGAAGGUGGGGAUGACGUCAAAUCAUCAUGCCCCUUAUGACCUGGGCUACACACGUGCUACAAUGGAUGGUACAACGAGUUGCGAACUCGCGAGAGUAAGCUAAUCUCUUAAAGCCAUUCUCAGUUCGGAUUGUAGGCUGCAACUCGCCUACAUGAAGUCGGAAUCGCUAGUAAUCGCGGAUCAGCAUGCCGCGGUGAAUACGUUCCCGGGCCUUGUACACACCGCCCGUCACACCAUGAGAGUUUGUAACACCCAAAGUCGGUG